CCUUCAAUGAUGAUUUAAAUCUUGACUUUCGUUCUUCUGAGUAUUCUGAAGCCACAUAUUUGUCUGAGAAGG